CUCAGACACGAAAGCUAGGGGAGCAAACAGGAUUAGAUACCCUGGUAGUCCUAGCCCUAAACGAUGAAUACUAGGUGUUGGAGGAUUCACUCCUUCAGCGUCGUAGCUAACGCGUUAAGUAUUCCACCUGGAAAGUACGGUCGCAAGGCUGAAACUCAAAGGAAUUGACGGGUACCCGCACAAGCAGCGAGGCAUGUGGUUUAAUUCGAGGCUACACGAAGAACCUUACCUGGGCUUGACAUGUUGCUGAAAGAUCUAAGAAACUAGAUCCUUUUUCAUAGCAAUAUGAAAACAGUUUCACAGGUGGUGCAUGGUUGUCGUCAGCUCGUGCCGUGAGGUGUAAGGUUAAGUCCUUGAACGAGCGCAACCCACGUCGUUAUUUGCCACGGAGCAAUCCAGCUACUAUAACGAUACCGCCGGCGACGAGCCGGAGGAAGGCGUGGACGACGUCAAAUCAUCACGCCCCUUAUGUCCAGGGCUACACACAUGCGACAAUGGUCGGAACAAUGAGUUGCCAAGCAGUAAUGCGGAGCUAAUCUCCAAAGCCGGCCUCAGUACAGAUCGAGGGUUGCAACCCACCCUCGUGAAGAUGGAGUUGCUAGUAAACGCAAGUCAGCUAUAUUGCGUUGAAUACGUUCCCGGGUAUUGUACACACCGCCCGUCACACCACCCAAGUUGGCUGUACCCGAAAACACAUACCCCAACCGUAAGGAGGGGCGUGUUGAAGGUGUGGUCAGUGAGGAGGGUGAAGUCGUAACAAGGUAACCGUA
rnacentral:rRNA from 1 species